AUUGAACGCUGGCGGCAGGCCUAACACAUGCAAGUCGAGCGAGAAAGGUCUUCGGACUGAGUACAGCGGCGGACGGGUGAGUAAUGCGCAGGAAUCUACCUGGGUAGUGGGGGAUAACUCGGGGAAACUCGAACUAAUACCGCAUACGCCUACGGGGAAAGGACGGGGACCGUUCGGGCCGUCGCGCUAUCAGAUGAGCCUGCGUAGGAUUAGCUUGUUGGUGAGGUAAAGGCUCACCAAGGCGACGAUCCUUAGCUGGUCUGAGAGGAUGAUCAGCCACACUGGAACUGAGACACGGUCCAGACUCCUACGGGAGGCAGCAGUGGGGAAUAUUGCGCAAUGGGCGAAAGCCUGACGCAGCCAUGCCGCGUGUGUGAAGAAGGCCCUUGGGUUGUAAAGCA
rnacentral:rRNA from 1 species